rnacentral:rRNA from 1 species
CGGAGGGUGCGAGCGUUGUCCGGAAUCACUGGGCGUAAAGGGCGCGUAGGUGGCGUCGCAAGUCAACGGUGAAAGCUCGGCGCUCAACGCCGAGUCGGCCGUCGAUACUGCGAGGCUUGAGCACUGUAGAGGCAGAUGGAAUUCCGGGUGUAGCGGUGGAAUGCGUAGAGAUCCGGAAGAACACCGGUGGCGAAGGCGGUCUGCUGGGCAGUAGCUGACACUGAGGCGCGACAGCGUGGGGAGCAAACAGGAUUAGAUACCCUGGUAGUCCACGCCGUAAACGAUGGGCACUAGGUGCUUGGGGGAGCGACCCCCUGAGUGCCGACGCUAACGCAUUAAGUGCCCCGCCUGGGGAGUACGGCCGCAAGGCUG